GUAAUUGUGAAGGGUGAUAGAUGUAUAGUGUGUUCUGAUUGUAACAGGUCUUAGUUGUAGACCUAUCGGACAUAGGUGACGAUUCUUGCUCCAAACCCUCGCAUCUCCAUACAGUAUCACCAGGAUUUCAUAACGAAGACCGAUUAUAUCUGAACAGAAUGACUGCCUGGUUGAUAAUGUGGACAGCAUGCAUGAUAAUUGCUACAGAAGCCGUUCCAUGCCAUUACACCCAUCACUGUUCAGACUGUGACAGAGAGACGGGGGAUUGCCUCACUGAGUGUGAUACUGGGUAUUACGAUCGGCACUGCAGAUCUGCCUGCAGCAAGACCUGUAGGAAUAACAAAUGCGUGAUCUCAGAACAUGGUAGUGAUAACUGCACUGAGGGUUGUAUGCCAGGAUAUUCUGGCAUUGACUGCAACAUACCAUGUGACAGUCCAGGAGGUAACUGUACGGCAUGUCCAGGUGGUUGUGAUGGAGGAUAUUGUCAGCUGGGGUCAUCCUGUGUGUCUGGAUGUGUAGACUCCUACUACGGGACUGACUGUGAUACUGGUAGGUACAAAUUGGUUAUUGCCUAUCAUAAAGACUAUGUUGUAUACUUCCGAGGGACUUGAUCACGACAUACGAAAGUACACUGAUCCAAUGUCGGGUGAAAUGAUAUUUCUACAGUAUGUGUUUCAGUUAUUUGCUUAUAGUUGUAAACGAAUCGCCGCAAAUAACUAAUUGUUCGUGCGGCAUAAACCAAUUUGCACUCAUGCUCAAAGGCACAAGUUAUUGAAACAACAAACAGAAUCGAUUAUAAACUUCCGUGCCAUAAUGAAAUGUUAUUACUUGGUAAGACAAAUGUUUCAAAGUAUGGUGACGUUGAUCAACUGUCUAUAACUGGCAUGUACAAACGGGCGACAGUACAUGAAGGAGUUCACAAGCAAUAUCACACGGUCAGUAGCGAGUGUAUCCGACGUGUGCAUUGAUGCAAACGUGGCACCUUCACCUCAUUGAGGCCACUGAACGUCAGUGAAAGUCCUGGAGAUCAUUCCAUAUCCGAGGAAGGAUAUGACGGAGUUCCUCCAGUGCCAUCGGAGAAUUCGAAUGACGUAAACGUCGCUCCAUUUAAUCCCAUACCUGUUUCGUGGGUGACAAUGGGAUCGGUUGGGCCAGAGUGAUGCAUUAACAUUGUUCUGGUUAUGAUACUGCUGAACAACUCAAGCAACAUGUGGUCUAACGUUAUCGGGAUAAAACGUCUCACUGCAGCCCUACUGUUACAACAACGGUGAAGCGGCCAUUUGUAGCAUACCUCACAGCAUUCACCCCACCCCAGAUCACCAUGCCCCAUCCUCAAACAAUCCCCCUCUCAGAACAUGGCCUGAUGUAAUGUUCACGUGUACGCCUGUGUCACUUGUCCUACCGUAAGAUCGAAGUGAAAGAAACGUAACUUAUCGAUAAAGAAUAUUAUUGUCCACUCUCGUGGUACCAACUGUAAGCAUUGCCUGCUCUACUGACGAUAUCGAGGUCGAUGUUCUGGCUUCAGAAAAUUUCCAUAGGGCUGGGUGGCUAGUUCAGAUGCCUCGGUCACAUACACGUCGACAAACUGCUCUGAGGGAUACACCUUCGUUACAAGGUAUAACACCGGCCUGUGUCGGAAUUACCUGGUUUGAUUUCACUGAUGUUGUCGUUGGAUCGUUAUAGUCUAUUAUCUUCCUGGAAACGUCACCAUAGAUGCCUAAUGACAUUUCUUUGGAAGUUGAAUGGACGAGGUGUCAUAAUGAAGCAUACCAUCUGUCAAUUUUCCCGAGGCGUGAUAUGUCGAUCUUGUUGUAGAACGAUGAACAAGUGACCUUUUUCAGAUUUCUACUACAAUGCAUUCAGCGGAAAUAAUAAGCGUCUGGUUGUCAGGCUUUUUAA